UUURURURUGAAGAGUUGGGCCUGCUCGGUGAACAAAUUGUUUUACAGCUGCGGUAUUUUACUGUACUAAGGUAGCAUAAUAAUUUGCCUUAUAAUUUGAGGCUAGAAUGAAUGGUUUGACGAAGGUUAAUCUGUCUCUACUUUAUUUUUUAGAAUUUAAUUUUUAUAGUGAAAAAGCUUGAAUUUUUUAAGGGACGAGAAGACCCUAUUGAGCUUAUAAUUUUAUUGCUAGUUCACUAUUUUAUAGUGAAAAGCAUAUAAAUUUUAAUUGGGGUGAUUAAGGAAUAAUGUUAGUUAAUAACUUCCUAUAAUAAAUUUUGUUGGGUAAAGUAACCAAUGUAGUAUUGCUAAUAAUAUAGUUACCAUAGGGAUAACAGUCGUAAUUUGUUUAGAGAGUKCUUAUUGAAAAACAAGAUUGCGACCUCGAUGUUGGAUUAAAGUAACCUUAAGGUGCAGAAGCUUUAUUAGGUAAAUCWGUUCGAUUUNNAAAAC
rnacentral:rRNA from 1 species